GGGGACCUUCGGGGCCCUAUCAUCGCGGCGCGCAAAGUGCUGCAUUUAUAACGGAAGACAGAAA
ncrna:unclassified sequences L2-Alphaproteobacteria ribosomal protein leader